UACGUAGGUGGCGAGCGUUGUUCGGAUUUAUUGGGCGUAAAGGGUCCGCAGGGGGUUGAUUAAGUCUGACGUGAAAUCCCUGAGCUUAACUCAGGAACUGCGUUGGAGACUGGUUGACUAGAGUGUUGGAGAGGUGAUUGGAAUUCCAGGUGUAGCGGUGGAAUGCGUAGAUAUCUGGAAGAACAUCGAAAGCGAAGGCAGAUCACUGGACAAUGACUGACCCUCAGGGACGAAAGCAUGGGGAGCAAACAGG
rnacentral:rRNA from 1 species